rnacentral:rRNA from 1 species
CAGCAGCCGCGGUAAUACGUAGGUCCCGAGCGUUGUCCGGAUUUAUUGGGCGUAAAGCGAGCGCAGGCGGUUAGAUAAGUCUGAAGUUAAAGGCUGUGGCUUAACCAUAGUACGCUUUGGAAACUGUUUAACUUGAGUGCAAGAGGGGAGAGUGGAAUUCCAUGUGUAGUGGUGAAAUGCGUAGAUAUAUGAAGGAACACCGGUGGCGAAAGCGGCUCUCUGGCUUGUAACUGACGCUGAGGCUCGAAAGCGUGGGGAGCAAACAGGAUUAGAUACCCCCGUAGUCCCUGUCUCUUAUACA